rnacentral:rRNA from 1 species
GAUGAACGCUGGCGGCGUGCCCAAUACAUGCAAGUCGAGCGAAUGGAUUAAGAGCUUGCCCUUAUGAAGUUAGCGGCGGACGGGUGAGUAACACGUGGGUAACCUGCCCAUAAGACUGGGAUAACUCCGGGAAACCGGGGCUAAUACCGGAUAACAUUUUGAACCGCAUGGUUCGAAAUUGAAAGGCGGCUUCGGCUGUCACUUAUGGAUGGACCCGCGUCGCAUUAGCUAGUUGGUGAGGUAACGGCUCACCAAGGCAACGAUGCGUAGCCGACCUGAGAGGGUGAUCGGCCACACUGGGACUGAGACACGGCCCAGACUCCUACGGGAGGCAGCAGUAGGGAAUCUUCCGCAAUGGACGAAAGUCUGACGGAGCAACGCCGCGUGAGUGAUGAAGGCUUUCGGGUCGUAAAACUCUGUUGUUAGGGAAGAACAAGUGCUAGUUGAAUAAGCUGACACCUUGACGGUACCUAACCAGAAAGCCACGGCUAACUACGUGCCAGCCGCCGCAGUAA